GAUGAAGAACGCAGCGAAAUGCGAUAAGUAAUGUGAAUUGCAGAAUUCAGUGAAUCAUCGAAUCUUUGAACGCACAUUGCGCCCGCCAGUAUUCUGGCGGGCAUGCCUGUUCGAGCGUCAUUUCAACCAUCAAGCCCCCGGCUUGUGUUGGGGACCUGCGGCUGCCGCAGGCCCUGAAAAGCAGUGGCGGGCUCGCUGUCACACCGAGCGUAGUAGCAUACAUCUCGCUCUGGGCGUGCUGCGGGUUCCGGCCGUUAAACCACCUUCAUAACCCAAGGUUGACCUCGGAUCAGAUAGGAAGACCCGCUGAACUUAAGCAUAUCAAUAAGCGGAGGA
rnacentral:misc_RNA from 1 species